AUUGAACGCUGGCGGCAGGCUUAACACAUGCAAGUCGAGCGAGCGGCGGACGGGUGAGUAAUGUCUGGGAAACUGCCUGAUGGAGGGGGAUAAAUACUGGAAACGGUAGCUAAUACCGCAUACCAUCUGAUGUGCCCAGAUGGGAUUAGCUAGUAGGUGGGGUAAUGGCUCACCUAGGCGACGAUCCCUAGCUGGUCUGAGAGGCUGACGGGCCACACUGGAACGGAGACACGGUCCAAACUCCACCGGGAGGCGGCGUUGGGGAAUUUUGCACAAGGGGCGAAAGCCUGAGGCAGCCAGGCCGCGUGUGUGAAGAAGGCCUUCGGUUGGUAAAGCACUUUCAGCGAGGAGGCGUUACUCGCAGAAGAAGCACCGGCUAACUCCGUGCCAGCAGCCGCGGUAAUAC
rnacentral:rRNA from 1 species